UGAAUUUAUUGGAAAACAAUUCGGAAUAAUCAAUCUGUUAAACAGUUUUAUAGGAUCUGUAACAAAAGCAGAAAAUGCUGGAGAGCUAGCAGAACCACUAGCAUCAAAGGAGGGAGAAACAGGGACUGGUUGCAAACUUCAAAGCAGCACCAUUUCCAGGCUGAAGUAAUAAUCUGAUAAUGGAGGAUCGGGAUUGCUCAUGCCUUCGUUCUCUAUGAUGGCUUCUACUUUCUUUGUGCUUCCGAGGAAAAUCCAAGCGCUCUCUGGACCUGCUUCUGGAUCUUGACAAACUUUUACUGUAGCUCCUGCUGUGUGAUCGCCUGCGUUUGUG